AUAUUUUUAGUUUAUUUAAAAUAUUAAAUUGCAAAUUUGAAGAAAUUUUUUAAAGAAAAAUAAAAUAUU
rnacentral:tRNA from 2 species